GACGAACGCUGGCGGCGUGCUUAACACAUGCAAGUCGAACGGAAAGGCCCUGCUUUUGUGGGGUGCUCGAGUGGCGAACGGGUGAGUAACACGUGAGUAACCUGCCCUUGACUUUGGGAUAACUUCAGGAAACUGGGGCUAAUACCGGAUAGGAGCUCCUGCUGCAUGGUGGGGGUUGGAAAGUUUCGGCGGUUGGGGAUGGACUCGCGGCUUAUCAGCUUGUUGGUGGGGUAGUGGCUUACCAAGGCUUUGACGGGUAGCCGGCCUGAGAGGGUGACCGGCCAAAUGGGGACUGAGAAACGGCCCAGACUCCUACGGGAGGCAGCAGUGGGGAAUAUUGCACAAUGGGCGGAAGCCUGAUGCAGCAACGCCGCGUGCGGGAUGACGGCCUUCGGGUUGUAAACCGCUUUCGCCUGUGACGAAGCGUGAGUGACGGUAAUGGGUAAAGAAGCACCGGCUAACUACGUG
rnacentral:rRNA from 1 species